rnacentral:rRNA from 1 species
AUGGGCAACGAUUUUUGGUCAUCAAUUUUGCGACUUAUAAACUAUUUUGAGCCACUAGCAUUUGUACUUAGAAGGGUGGAUGGAGAUGUUCCUGCUAUGGGUUACCUUUAUGGUGAUCUUGAAAAUGCAAAAAAGGAAAUUGCUGUCCGUUUUGAUGGAAAUGCAAAGAAAUAUGGUUUUAUUUGGGAUAUUAUUGAUGAAAGGUGGAACGACAAACUCAAGACUCCAUUGCAUAAAGCCGGAUACUACUUGAAUCCAUUAUUUUAUUAUGAGAACAAGGCAGAGUUGGAGGAAGAGGUUUUCGUCGCAACAGUCGUACAGUGCGCAGGUCGUGUGUACCAUGAUAAUGACAAAUUACAGGAUAUGAUUGUUGCCCAGCUUAAUAUGUACACUAAUGGCACUGAUUCUUUUGGCUCUGCAAUGGCUAUUCGACAAAGAAAAAGUACAACUAUCAUCCCAGGUAAAAGCUCUCUCUCUCUCUGGUUUCAACAAUAUUUAUCUUGUCAAAUUUCUAACUUAAAUUUGGUUAUAUUUGCAGCAAAUUGGUGGGCAGCACAUGGCACUGAUGCAAAGGAAUUAAGAAAGAUGGCUAUCAAGAUUCUAAAUUUGACGUGUAGCUCAUCUGCAUGUGAAAGGAACUGGAGUGCAUUUGAGAGGGCACAUACAUCACUUCCUUCAUGCAUUACCUUUUCAUGUAGCAUAUUGUGCUUUUUAGAUCUUAAUGGCCGCUUCAUUGUAGGUCCAUACCAAGAAAAGGACGAGAUUAACACAAAAGAGAUUGAAUUCUCUUGUCUAUGUCAUGUUUAA